GGGGCCGCCCGCGGAGCGCCCGGAACGGAGCCCGUCCGUGCUGAGGGUGCCAGGGCUGAACCGCAGCAGCUCCUUCGUCUGCGAGGCGCACAACGAGCGCGGCGUCAGCAGCUCCCGCAGCGCCACCGUCACCGUGGUGCCCGCG